rnacentral:rRNA from 1 species
GACGAACGCUGGCGGCGUGCCUAAUACAUGCAAGUCGAACGCUUUUUCUUUCACCGGAGCUUGCUCCACCGAAAGAAAAAGAGUGGCGAACGGGUGAGUAACACGUGGGUAACCUGCCCAUCAGAAGGGGAUAACACUUGGAAACAGGUGCUAAUACCGUAUAACACUAUUUUCCGCAUGGAAGAAAGUUGAAAGGCGCUUUUGCGUCACUGAUGGAUGGACCCGCGGUGCAUUAGCUAGUUGGUGAGGUAACGGCUCACCAAGGCAACGAUGCAUAGCCGACCUGGGAGGGUGGUCGGCCACACUGGGACUGAGAAACGGCCCAGACUCCUACGGGGGGCAGCAGUAGGGAAUCUUCGGCAAUGGACGAAAGUCUGACCGAGCAACGCCGCGUGAGUGAAGAAGGUUUUCGGAUCGUAAAACUCUGUUGUUAGAGAAGAACAAGGAUGAGAGUAAAAUGUUCAUCCCUUGACGGUAUCUAACCAGAAAGCCACGGCUAACUACGUGCCAGCCGCCGCCGUAA